rnacentral:rRNA from 1 species
GUCGAGAAUAAUUCACAAUGGGGGAAACCCUGAUGGUGCAACGCCGCGUGGAGGAUGAAGGUCUUCGGAUUGUAAACUCCUGUCAUCUGGGAGUAAGACCUGACGGUGAAUAGCCGGCAGGGUUGAUAGUACCAGAAGAGGAAGGGACGGCUAACUUCGUGCCAGCAGCCGCGGUAAUACGAAGGUCCCAAGCGUUGUUCGGAAUCACUGGGCGUAAAGGGUGCGUAGGCGGCGUGGUAAGUCAGAUGUGAAAGCCCGGGGCUCAACCUCGGAACUGCACCCGAUACUGCCAUGCUGGAGGGCUAGAGAGGUAACUGGAAUUCUCGGUGUAGCAGUGAAAUGCGUGGAUAUCGAGAGGAACACUCGUGGCGAAGGCGAGUUACUGGACAGCAUCUGACGCUGAGGCACGAAGGCCAGGGGAGCGAAAGGGAUUAGAUACCCGGGUAGUCC